rnacentral:tRNA from 1 species
AAGGGCAUAGCUCAACGGGUAGAGUGUGUGGUUAGCAUGCAUGAGGUACUGGGUUCAAUCCCCAGUGCCUCCU